rnacentral:rRNA from 1 species
AGAGUUUGAUCCUGGCUCAGGAUGAACGCUGGCGGCGUGCUUAACACAUGCAAGUCGAACGAUGAAAGCGGGAGCUUGCUCCUGCUGGAUUAGUGGCGAACGGGUGAGUAACACGUGAGUAACCUGCCCUUGACUCUGGGAUAAGCGUUGGAAACGACGUCUAAUACCGGAUACGAGCUUCGGUCGCAUGACCAGGAGCUGGAAAGAACUUCGGUCAAGGAUGGACUCGCGGCCUAUCAGCUAGUUGGUGAGGUAACGGCUCACCAAGGCGACGACGGGUAGCCGGCCUGAGAGGGUGACCGGCCACACUGGGACUGAGACACGGCCCAGACUCCUACGGGAGGCAGCAGUGGGGAAUAUUGCACAAUGGGCGCAAGCCUGAUGCAGCAACGCCGCGUGAGGGACGACGGCCUUCGGGUUGUAAACCUCUUUUAGUAGGGAAGAAGCGAAAGUGACGGUACCUGCAGAAAAAGCACCGGCUAACUACGUGCCAGCAGCCGCGGUAAUACGUAGGGUGCAAGCGUUAUCCGGAAUUAUUGGGCGUAAAGAGCUCGUAGGCGGUUUGUCGCGUCUGCUGUGAAAACUGGAGGCUCAACCUCCAGCCUGCAGUGGGUACGGGCAGACUAGAGUGCGGUAGGGGAGAUUGGAAUUCCUGGUGUAGCGGUGGAAUGCGCAGAUAUCAGGAGGAACACCGAUAGCGAAGGCAGAUCUCUGGGCCGUAACUGACGCUGAGGAGCGAAAGCGUGGGGAGCGAACAGGAUUAGAUACCCUGGUAGUCC